rnacentral:misc_RNA from 1 species
GAUGAAGAACGUAGCGAAAUGCGAUAAGUAAUGUGAAUUGCAGAAUUCAGUGAAUCAUCGAAUCUUUGAACGCACAUUGCGCCCGCCAGUAUUCUGGCGGGCAUGCCUGUUCGAGCGUCAUUUCAACCAUCAAGCCCUGCUUGCGUUGGGGUCCUGCGGCUGCCCGCAGGCCCUGAAAACCAGUGGCGGGCUCGCUAGUCACACCGAGCGCAGUAAUACAUCUCGCUUUGGGCGUCCGGCGGGUUCUUGCCGUUAAACACCCCCUUUUUACCAAGGUUGACCUCGGAUCAGGUAGGAAUACCCGCUGAACUUAAGCAUAUCAAUAAGCGGAGGA